rfam:Mucor circinelloides f. lusitanicus CBS 277.49 MTCCIscaffold_11, whole genome shotgun sequence.
GGGUUCGCCACAAUUUCAUUCAGAUAAUUGAUAUUUGCGGCUCGUUGAAAGGCCAAUGCCGCGAAGAAGCUACCAUCUGCUGGAUAAUGGCUGAGCACCCCUAAGUCAGAAUCCAUGCUGAAAACGAUACUACUGUGUUUUGAUUGUACGAGCAGAUGAGUACUAAUAAAGUUUUGGCUUGAAAACCUUACUUGUCAGCUACGUUUGGUAGCGAAAAUGCUGCUAGAUCUACUUGCUAAUGAUAAUGCUAAUACAUCAAAAUGAUAAAUCGCAUGCAGACGACAUGAAAUGGACGGGGAUUUGUAAGUACUAGAGUAGCCUUUGUUGCUACGAUGUACUGAGAUUAAGCCUUUGUCAUUGAAUUU